rnacentral:tRNA from 1 species
CGCGGGGUGGAGCAGUUCGGUAGCUCGGCGGGCUCAUAAUCCGCAGGUCGCAGGUUCAAAUCCUGUCCCCGCUACCA